rnacentral:rRNA from 1 species
AUUGAACGCUGGCGGCAGGCUUAACACAUGCAAGUCGAACGAGUGGCGGACGGGUGAGUAAUGCUUGGGAAACUGCCUGAUGGAGGGGGAUAACUACUGGAAACGGUAGCUAAUACCGCAUACCAUCGGAUGAGCCCCGGUGGGAUUAGGUAGUUGGUGGGGUAACGGCCAACCAAGGCGACGAUCCCUAGCUGGUCUGAGAGGAUGACCAGCCACACGGGGACUGAGACACGGUCCAGACUCCUACGGGAGGCAGCAGUGGGGAAUAUUGCACAAUGGGCGCAAGCCUGACGCAGCCAUGCCGCGUGUAUGAAGAAGGCCUUCGGGUUGUAAAGUACUUUCAGCGAGGAGGCGUUACCCGCAGAAGAAGCACCGGCUAACUCCGUGCCAGCAGCCGCGGUAAUAC